GGUUAAGCGACUAAGCGUACACGGUGGAUGCCCUGGCAGUCAGAGGCGAUGAAGGACGUGCUAAUCUGCGAAAAGCGCCGGCGAGGUGAUAUGAACCUUUGACCCGGCGAUGUCCGAAUGGGGAAACCCAGUGUGAUUCGUCACACUAUCGUUAACUGAAUACAUAGGUUAACGAGGCGAACCGGGGGAACUGAAACAUCUAAGUACCCCGAGGAAAAGAAAUCAACCGAGAUUCCCCCAGUAGCGGCGAGCGAACGGGGAGCAGCCCGGAGUCUGAAUCAGCUUGUGUGUUAGUGGAACGGUCUGGAAAGUCCGACGGUACAGGGUGAUAGUCCCGUACACGAAAAUGCACAGGUUGUGAACUCGAAGAGUAGGGCGGGACACGUGGUAUCCUGUCUGAAUAUGGGGGGACCAUCCUCCAAGGCUAAAUACUCCUGACUGACCGAUAGUGAACCAGUACCGUGAGGGAAAGGCGAAAAGAACCCCGGCGAGGGGAGUGAAAAAGAACCUGAAACCGUGUACGUACAAGCAGUGGGAGCCUACUUGUUAGGUGACUGCGUACCUUUUGUAUAAUGGGUCAGCGACUUAUAUUCUGUAGCAAGGUUAACCGUAUAGGGGAGCCGAAGGGAAACCGAGUCUUAACUGGGCGUUAAGUUGCAGGGUAUAGACCCGAAACCCGGUGAUCUAGCCAUGGGCAGGUUGAAGGUUGGGUAACACUAACUGGAGGACCGAACCGACUAAUGUUGAAAAAUUAGCGGAUGACCUGUGGCUGGGGGUGAAAGGCCAAUCAAACCGGGAGAUAGCUGGUUCUCCCCGAAAGCUAUUUAGGUAGCGCCUCGUGAAUUCAUCUUCGGGGGUAGAGCACUGUUUCGGCUAGGGGGCCAUCCCGGCUUACCAACCCGAUGCAAACUACGAAUACCGAAGAAUGUUAUCACGGGAGACACACGGCGGGUGCUAACGUCCGUCGUGAAGAGGGAAACAACCCAGACCGCCAGCUAAGGUCCCAAAGUCAUGGUUAAGUGGGAAACGAUGUGGGAAGGCACAGACAGCCAGGAUGUUGGCUUAGAAGCAGCCAUCAUUUAAAGAAAGCGUAAUAGCUCACUGGUCGAGUCGGCCUGCGCGGAAGAUGUAACGGGGCUAAACCAUGCACCGAAGCUGCGGCAGCGACGCUUAUGCGUUGUUGGGUAGGGGAGCGUUCUGUAAGCCGUUGAAGGUGGCCUGUGAGGGUUGCUGGAGGUAUCAGAAGUGCGAAUGCUGACAUAAGUAACGAUAAAGCGGGUGAAAAGCCCGCUCGCCGGAAGACCAAGGGUUCCUGUCCAACGUUAAUCGGGGCAGGGUGAGUCGACCCCUAAGGCGAGGCCGAAAGGCGUAGUCGAUGGGAAACAGGUUAAUAUUCCUGUACUUGGUGUUACUGCGAAGGGGGGACGGAGAAGGCUAUGUUAGCCGGGCGACGGUUGUCCCGGUUUAAGCAUGUAGGCGGAGGUUCCAGGUAAAUCCGGUACCUUUUUANNNNNNNNNNNNNNNNNNNNNNNNNNNNNNNNNNNNNNNNNNNNNNNNNNNNNNNNNNNNNNNNNNNNNNNNNNNNNNNNNNNNNNNNNNNNNNNNCUUUUUAACGCUGAGGUGUGAUGACGAGGCACUACGGUGCUGAAGUAACAAAUGCCCUGCUUCCAGGAAAAGCCUCUAAGCAUCAGGUAACACGAAAUCGUACCCCAAACCGACACAGGUGGUCAGGUAGAGAAUACCAAGGCGCUUGAGAGAACUCGGGUGAAGGAACUAGGCAAAAUGGUGCCGUAACUUCGGGAGAAGGCACGCUGAUAUGUAGGUGAAGCCCCUGCGGGUGGAGCUGAAAUCAGUCGAAGAUACCAGCUGGCUGCAACUGUUUAUUAAAAACACAGCACUGUGCAAACACGAAAGUGGACGUAUACGGUGUGACGCCUGCCCGGUGCCGGAAGGUUAAUUGAUGGGGUUAGCGGUAACGCGAAGCUCUUGAUCGAAGCCCCGGUAAACGGCGGCCGUAACUAUAACGGUCCUAAGGUAGCGAAAUUCCUUGUCGGGUAAGUUCCGACCUGCACGAAUGGCGUAAUGAUGGCCAGGCUGUCUCCACCCGAGACUCAGUGAAAUUGAACUCGCUGUGAAGAUGCAGUGUACCCGCGGCAAGACGGAAAGACCCCGUGAACCUUUACUAUAGCUUGACACUGAACACUGGUCCUUGAUGUGUAGGAUAGGUGGGAGGCUUUGAAGCGUGGACGCCAGUCUGCGUGGAGCCGACCUUGAAAUACCACCCUUUAAUGGCUGGUGUUCUAACGUAGACCCGUGAUCCGGGUUGCGGACAGUGUCUGGUGGGUAGUUUGACUGGGGCGGUCUCCUCCCAAAGAGUAACGGAGGAGCACGAAGGUUAGCUAAUCCUGGUCGGACAUCAGGAGGUUAGUGCAAUGGCAUAAGCUAGCUUGACUGCGAGAGUGACGGCUCGAGCAGGUGCGAAAGCAGGUCAUAGUGAUCCGGUGGUUCUGAAUGGAAGGGCCAUCGCUCAACGGAUAAAAGGUACUCCGGGGAUAACAGGCUGAUACCGCCCAAGAGUUCAUAUCGACGGCGGUGUUUGGCACCUCGAUGUCGGCUCAUCACAUCCUGGGGCUGAAGUAGGUCCCAAGGGUAUGGCUGUUCGCCAUUUAAAGUGGUACGCGAGCUGGGUUUAGAACGUCGUGAGACAGUUCGGUCCCUAUCUGCCGUGGGCGCUGGAGAAUUGAGGGGGGCUGCUCCUAGUACGAGAGGACCGGAGUGGACGCAUCACUGGUGUUCGGGUUGUCAUGCCAAUGGCACUGCCCGGUAGCUAAAUGCGGAAGAGAUAAGUGCUGAAAGCAUCUAAGCACGAAACUUGCCCCGAGAUGAGUUCUCCCUGAGACU
rnacentral:rRNA from 1 species